rnacentral:rRNA from 1 species
UAGGGAAUCUUCGGCAAUGGACGAAAGUCUGACCGAGCAACGCCGCGUGAGUGAAGAAGGUUUUCGGAUCGUAAAACUCUGUUGUUAGAGAAGAACAAGGACGUUAGUAACUGAACGUCCCCUGACGGUAUCUAACCAGAAAGCCACGGCUAACUACGUGCCAGCAGCCGCGGUAAUACGUAGGUGGCAAGCGUUGUCCGGUUUUAUUGGGCGUAAAGCGAGCGCAGGCGGUUUCUUAAGUCUGAUGUGAAAGCCCCCGGCUCAACCGGGGAGGGUCAUUGGAAACUGGGAGGCUUGAGUGCAGAAGAGGAGAAUGGAAUUCCAUGUGUAGCGGUGAAAUGCGUAGAUAUAUGGAGGAACACCAGUGGCGAAGGCGGCUCUCUGGUCUGUAACUGACGCUGAGGCUAGAAAGCGUGGGGAGCAAACAGG